CCGCCGUUGGUGCUAUAUAAACGACCAACGACUCUCAGAAAUUGAGCACUACCACUUGACGGAUGCACCCGCACGGAUCGCCACUGCCGCCACUUCGCGAUCUGCACGAACAACGAGGACGUAUACACGCAACCGUCGUUGCGUAUUAGAGCUUUUAGAGCUCUUUUAGAGCUCGGAAAAUGUGGUCCAUAUACAUUCCAAACACGUCCCAGGAAGUAGACAGCAAAUCUGCGGACAUAGGUACUGGUAUCUUUCGAAAAAAAAAUAUAAUAUACAAUCUAUAUCGAAGACAUAAUGAGUAUAUGUGCGAUAAGAGGGAAACAAAAACACCACGAUAUAAAAUAAUAUUAUUAUCCUAAAUCAUGGUGUCACAUAUUUGUCAUAUAUUUGAGAGAAUAAGAUAGACGUUUCCACACGACAGCAUAUAAAUCGUCAGCGCAUCAUCUGAAGAGAAGGUAUUGGACAUUGGCAUACUGUCUGGACGGUGCACAAUAUUUCUUGCAACCUUUAUAUUAUAAUUAUAUUAUAAUUAACUGUUUUACGUGUUAAAGUUACAAAUCUUAUCGAUUAAAGUAUCUAGUAAAUAGAAAUAGAACUUUUAAAUGAUUAUAAUAGCAAAAUACUAAAAACAAUUUGUACUAAAUAUGAAUGUUGUUAUACUAUAUAGCGUACCUCUACUGUAUUUUAUAACAGAAAAAAAAACAAUAGCUCAUUGUAUGAUUAAUAUUUUUAUUUUUAAAUAGUUAAACAUGAACAUGUUAUAUGCAUCAAUUUCAAGCCCGGAUUGAGAUCAUUUUGGGCCCGGGGCCAAACAAUUUUAGGGGCCCAUAUUCCAUAAACAUAAUCAAAAUAUUGGUGACCCACAAAUAAAUAUAUUUCAGAGAUAACAUUUUUUUUUUACUUUAUAGGUUUAUUAUAUUUCAUUAUUUUCAUUAUUUAAAUACUUUUUUUAUAGAAUGUAAAUGUUUGAACAAUGAACAUAAUAAAUUAUAAAUAUUAUUGUUCAUUAUUCUAGAUAAUAUUCAAAAGUUAACAUCAAAAAUAAUAUUAUUUUGUGUUCAUUUUUAUCAAUAUUAUAUUAUUAUGUACUUUAAAUUUGUGUAUUAAUAAAUGUUGUAACAGACUCCCUACUCAAGCUAUUAUAUAGGUAUCAACUUUAAAUGUUAAUUUAAAUGUACCUAAAUAUUAUUAUGAAGAAGUUAAAAUAAAUUAUUAUAAUUAUUAUUAUUAUUAUUAAAAACAGUUUUAUAGCCAAAUCUAUAAUACCUAGUAAUAAUGAUUCAAACAUCAUUCACCGUAAAUUCGUAAUCGACGGUAUUCGCCACACUCACUACUCAGGUAUUCCCAUAAAUCCCAUUUCCUUACCAAUUAUCUUCCAGCUGAAAAUAGACGACAUUGUCGAAUGUUGAUAUUACGAUAGCAUAGGUAAUAAUAACAUAAUUAUCCAUUAACGAUAUAUUAUAGUAAUAUUAGACUAUAAGAAACUUUAAUAUACAUAUUUUAUUCAAAUAUUUCUAAUUUAAUAAAAAAAAAAACGUACUGUCGGACUAUCAUACUAUCCGCUUGGGGUCUACUAUUGUUUGAUAUCCGUUGUGGCCUGUGGGCCCGGGGCCAUGGCCCCCUCUGCCCCCCCCUUAAUCCGGGAUUGAUCAAUUUACUUUUUGCUAUCAAAAUGCUUACGAUAUUACUUAUGAAUUUAAAAGUUCAACAUUUAAUUGCAUUUUGCAUAGGUCAAGCCCAUAGGUGUAUAAUUAUAUAUUAUAUAUGUAUACAAUAUUCAUAUUAGAUUUUGAGCGGAGCGAUGAAUGUAUUAAUUGUACA